UGGGGGAUAUUGCACAAUGGGCGAAAGCCUGAUGCAGCGACGCCGCGUGGGGGAUGAAGGCUUUCGGGUUGUAAACCUCUUUCGCUAUCGAACAAGGCCCGCUUAGGGUGGGUUGAGGGUAGGUGGAGAAGAAGCGCCGGCUAACUACGUGCCAGCAGCCGCGGUAAUACGUAGGGCGCGAGCGUUGUCCGGAAUUAUUGGGCGGAAGGGGCUUGUAGGCGGCGUGUUGCGCGUGCUGUGAAAACGCGGGGCUUAACUUCGCGCGUGCAGUGGGUACGGGAGGGCUUGAGUGUGGUAGGGGUGACUGGAGUUCCAGGUGUAGCGGUGGGAUGCGCAGAGAUCUGGAGGAGCACCGAUGGCGAAGGCAGGUCACUGGGCCAUUACUGACGCUGAGGAGCGAAAGCAUGGGUAGCGAACAGG
rnacentral:rRNA from 1 species